CCCUUAGAUGUCCGGGGCCGCACGCGCGCUACAAUGGAUGAAUCAACGCGUCAUCCUGGCCCGAAAGGGUUGGGGAACCGCUGAACCUCAUCCGUGGUUGGGAUUGGGGUUUGUAAUUAUUCCCCAUGAACUAGGAAUUCCCAGUAAGCGCGAGUCAUAAGCUCGCGUUGAUUACGUCCCCGCCCUUUGUACACACCGCCCGUCGCUACUACCGAUUGGAUGGUUUAGUGAGAUCCUCGGAUUGGUCACGGCACGGUGGCAACACUGCGUCGGUGUGCCGAGAAGACGAUCAAACUUGAUCAUCUAGAGGAAGUAAAAGUCGUAACA
rnacentral:rRNA from 1 species